rnacentral:rRNA from 1 species
UUAUACCUACGGGGGGCAGCAGUGAGGAAUAUUGGUCAAUGGACGCAAGUCUGAACCAGCCAUGCCGCGUGCAGGAUGACGGCUCUAUGAGUUGUAAACUGCUUUUGUACGAGGGUAAACCCCGAUACGUGUAUCGGGUUGAAAGUAUCGUACGAAUAAGGAUCGGCUAACUCCGUGCCAGCAGCCGCGGUAAUACGGAGGAUCCGAGCGUUAUCCGGAUUUAUUGGGUGUAAAGGGUGCGUAGACGGGAAAACAAGUUAGUUGUGAAAUCCCUCGGCUUAACUGAGGAACUGCAACUAAAACUA